GUUCCAGAGCAAGCUUAGGUGGUAACACUCCUGUAGAGAGAGCAUGAAGGCAGUGAGUGGGAAGACAGUGUGAUCCUGUGCUUCUCUAGGCCAGCUGGUGCAAAGCAGAGGCCUCCUAAAAGACACAAAGUGGCUUGUCAGCUUUUCUACCUGUUCUAACAAGUUAGAAGUACAUCCCAAAAGGUAUACUGCAAUAUUGAAGUUCAUUUAUAUACACUAUAAAGUUUCCCCUGUGUGUCCUGCAGACUGGGAAGUGUCCAUGGGUUGAUCCCUUUGUGAAUUACAUGGAGCUGACAGGGCUGAAACCCACAAUGACCCAGAUGAGGAUUGAAGCUUGUGCUGAAAGAGUGGCUGCCGCCCCAAACAUGUAAUCUUGACCAGUUCUGGAACCUAGAUCAACUGUGGGGUCACUUCCUUGUGAUUGGCUUUCCUUAGUUUGAAAAUAAUGACCUUAUUGCCUCAGCUAAAAUGUAAAAAGCAAUAAACUGGUAAGUAUCAAAAACACUAGUGUAAAAACAUUAGUAUGCUGAAACAGAUAAAAGUCAUUUUAAAUAUUCACCAUCCCCUCUCUUCACCCCAUGCCUGUCACUGGGGACAGGAGUAUUGUGUG
ensembl:lncRNA